rnacentral:rRNA from 1 species
AGGCGAGCUGACUCUAGUGGCGGACGGGUGAGUAACGCGUGAGAAUUUGCCUCUAGGUGAGGGACAACAGUUGGAAACGACUGCUAAUACCUCAUAUGCUGAAAAGUGAAAAGGUUACUGCCUAGAGAGAAGCUCGCGUCUGAUUAGCUAGUUGGUAAGGUAAUGGCUUACCAAGGCGAUGAUCAGUAGCUGGUUUGAGAGGAUGAUCAGCCACACUGGAACUGAGAUACGGUCCAGACUCCUACGGGAGGCAGCAGUGGGGAAUUUUCUGCAAUGGGCGAAAGCCUGACAGAGCAAUACCGCGUGAGGGAUGACGGCCUGUGGGUUGUAAACCUCUUUUCUCAAGGAGGAAGACCUGACGUGUACUUGAGGAAUAAGCAUCGGCUAACUCCGUGCCAGCAGCCGCGGUAAGACGGAGGAUGCAAGUGUUAUCCGGAAUUAUUGGGCGUAAAGCGUCUGCAGGUGGUUUAUUAAGUCUGCUGUUAAAUCUUGAAGCUCAACUUCAAACUUGCAGUAGAAACUAAUAGGCUUGAGUAUGGUAGGGGUAAAGGGAAUUUCCAGUGGAGCGGUGAAAUGCGUAGAUAUUGGAAAGACCACCAAAGGCGAAGGCACUUUACUGGGCCAUUACUGACACUGAGAGACGAAAGCUA